rnacentral:rRNA from 1 species
ACAUCCAGCGAACUUGGCAGAGAUGCCUUGGUGCCUUCGGGAACGCUGAGACAGGUGCUGCAUGGCUGUCGUCAGCUCGUGUUGUGAAAUGUUGGGUUAAGUCCCGCAACGAGCGCAACCCUUUAUCCUUUGUUGCCAGCGAUUCGGUCGGGAACUCAAAGGAGACUGCCGGUGAUAAACCGGAGGAAGGUGGGGAUGACGUCAAGUCAUCAUGGCCCUUACGAGUAGGGCUACACACGUGCUACAAUGGCGCAUACAAAGAGAAGCGACCUCGCGAGAGCAAGCGGACCUCAUAAAGUGCGUCGUAGUCCGGAUCGGAGUCUGCAACUCGACUCCGUGAAGUCGGAAUCGCUAGUAAUCGUGGAUCAGAAUGCCACGGUGAAUACGUUCCCGGGCCUUGUACACACCGCCCGUCACACCAUGGGAGUGGGUUGCAAAAGAAGUAGGUAGCUUAACCUUCGGGAGGGCGCUUACCACUUUGUGAUUCAUGACUGGGGUGAAGUCGUAACAAGGUAAGCGUAGCGAG